CUGAGCAGCAGAUCUUUUAUAAAACUCUGCUGAGGAAGGAAUCUUCCUCUUAUCUUAACCUUAAUAAGUUCCAUAGGUAUUGCAUUACCUCAGCUUUCCCACAUAAAAUACAACAGUGCCUAGAUACUUCCCUUGUUAAGCACACAAUUGUCUGCUUAUUCUGCAAAGUGGCCUCUGUUAAGAGGAAAAUAUUCUUGUAUCAUGAAAUAGCUGGAAGAGUAUGAUUCUGCUAUUGAAUUCUAAUAGGCACCAAAGCCUUACAACUAUAAUGUGAAUGUCAUUUGUUGUCUUUUAGAUUAAAAUGUGCCAGUGUUUGCAUGUCUUUAACCACUAAGUUAUUCAACACUGUAUUCUAUUUUGAAAUGUAUUGCACAAUUAUAUAGUCUUUUUUUAAAAAUAAUAAUUGUAAGCUGCUAUUGCUGCUUCAAAUGCAGCCAUUGUAAUGCUGGGAUUCUCUUUGUUGCUAGUACACUGCGCUGUAAUUUAGACAGCCCUCUUUUUAACUAACUUACCUGUGUGAAGAUAAUCAGGAUUUUAAAAAUAGUUGGUUUUAUAAAACAAAAUACAAAAUGUUUAAUUUUAUAUGUUAAUGUUAAAAGGAAAAUAUUCAAUGUUCAAAUGUUAGUGCCAAAAACUGAUAUUGCAAUAUGUACUGGAAUUUCACAACAAAAACAUACACAGACAUUUUCUUUUAAUUCUAAAACUUAAAAGUGGUGUAAGCAAUGCUCCCAACUGAUUUUAAUUCAUAAUAAAAAGAAAAUAGAAGCUAGAGCCAACAAAGUAUCCACAAGGUAAAGCCAACCAGCCCAGCUCUAAUUUCUUUAAUAAUAGUAAUAGUAAUAACAACAACAAUAAUAAUGACAUCAGAUUUGAAACUCUGGAACAAAAACGUAACAACUUAUAUCACCUUGUUUGACUUGGCAAAUAGAAAUUUGGUCAAGUUGAAAAGCAGCAUUUGAUUACAUCAGAAGCUGAUGAACGUUGCACAGUUUCAGAUUCCACAGUGCCUUUUUUAAAGAAAGCCAAACAAUUUAUAGCUUGCUGCUAUUAUCUUUAUGGGCAUCUAUAGUAGUCCUCAACUUAUAACCACAUUUGAGAUCAGAAUUUCUAUUACUAACCAUUGUGAUUGUUAAGUGAAUCGUGCCUAAUUUAAUGACCAUUUUGUCUUGGUUGUUAAGUGAGUCACCUUAAUCAGUAAGUGAAUCAUGCAGUCCUUAAAAAAAAUCUGGCUUCCCCCAUUGACUUUACUGGUUGGAAGCCAGUUGGGAAAGUCACAAACGAUGAUUACGUGAUCCAAGGAUGCCGCCAUUGUCAUAAGUACAUGCUGGUUGCCAAGAGGCCCUAUUUUGACCAUGUAACCACGGGGAUCCUGCAAUGGGUGUAAGUGCAAGCAUUAGUCAUAAGUCUCUUUUUUUCAGUGCCACGGAAAUCUCAAAAGUUCCUAAAUGAAUGAUUGUAAGUUGAGGACAAUCUGGAUUCCUUUGCUAUUCUCAUUCUGACCAGCCUUCUUGGAUUCUCUAAUAGUUUGUAAGUUGUUGACACUACUAAGGCUGAGCUAAUCAUUGUGAGAAGCAAUUGAUUUGCCUUUCCCUGAUGUUAAGCCAUAGUAAAUCCAACAUGCCAAAUAAAAAAUCGCUUUGCAAAAAAUGCCCUCUGUAAGAAAAAAGAAAAUUCAACUUAAGAACUCAGUUGUAUUUAGGGAGUGGGAGAUGAUCAUGAUCUGAUGCUGUUGGUCAAAUUGCAAUAGCUCAUUUUUAGCACUUGGAACUAAAAUAAAGACCUGUAUUAUUUAGUAGCAUUAGAAAAGCAAUAAAUACAAUGAGGAAAACUAAUCAAGCAUUAUAAUAGUCAUUAUUGAGUUAAUUUUCUUCAUGUUUUGCAUUAUCCAUGCCCUCAGUUCCUUCUAUGUGUUUUACUGGAAAUGUGCUAUUUAUUCUUUUAAAAUGUAUCUCUAAUAAAAUACUUUCUAAACU